rnacentral:rRNA from 1 species
CAGGCCUAACACAUGCAAGUCGAACGAAGGCUUCGGCCUUAGUGGCGCACGGGUGCGUAACGCGUGGGAAUCUGCCCUUAGGUUCGGAAUAACAGUUAGAAAUGACUGCUGAUACCGGAUGAUGACGUAAGUCCAAAGAUUUAUCGCCUAGGGAUGAGCCCGCGUAGGAUUAGCUAGUUGGUGUGGUAAAGGCGCACCAAGGCGACGAUCCUUAGCUGGUCUGAGAGGAUGAUCAGCCACACUGGGACUGAGACACGGCCCAGACUCCUACGGGAGGCAGCAGUGGGGAAUAUUGGACAAUGGGCGCAAGCCUGAUCCAGCAAUGCCGCGUGAGUGAUGAAGGCCUUAGGGUUGUACAAGCUCUUUUACCCGGGAUGAUAAUGACAGUACCGGGAGAAUAAGCCCCGGCUAACUCCGGGCC